rnacentral:tRNA from 1 species
GCCUUGGUGGCUCAGUCGGUUAAGCGUCCGACUUCGGCUCAGGUCAUGAUCUCACAGUCUGUGGGUUCGAGCCCCACAUCAGGCU